AUUGCCUCAGUAACGGCGAGUGAAGCGGCAACAGCUCAAAUUUGAAAUCUGGCCGCAAGGUCCGAGUUGUAAUUUGUAGAGGAUGCUUUUGGCGAGGUGCCUUCCGAGUUCCCUGGAACGGGACGCCAUAGAGGGUGAGAGCCCCGUACGGUAGGACCACCAAGCCUCUGUAAAGCUCCUUCGACGAGUCGAGUAGUUUGGGAAUGCUGCUCUAAAUGGGAGGUGUACGUCUUCUAAAGCUAAAUACCGGCCAGAGACCGAUAGCGCACAAGUAGAGUGAUCGAAAGAUGAAAAGCACUUUGAAAAGAGGGUUAAAAAGUACGUGAAAUUGUUGAAAGGGAAGCAUUCAUGACCAGACUUGGGCUUGGUUGAACAUCCGGCGUUCUCGCCGGUGCACUCUGCCAGUCCAGGCCAGCAUCAGUUUGCCCCGGGGGAUAAAGGCGGCGGGAAUGUGGCUCCCUUCGGGGAGUGUUAUAGCCCGUCGUGUAAUGCCCUGGGGCGGACUGAGGAACGCGCUUCGGCACGGAUGCUGGCGUAAUGGUCAUCAAUGACCCGUCUUGAAACACGGACCAAGGAGUCGUCUUCGUAUGCGAGUGUUCGGGUGUCAAACCCCUACGCGUAAUGAAAGUGAACGUAGGUGAGAGCUUCGGCGCAUCACCGACCGAUCCUGAUGUUCUCGGAUGGAUUUGAGUAAGAGCAUACGGGGCCGGACCCGAAAGAAGGUGAACUAUGCCUGUAUAGGGUGAAGCCAGAGGAAACUCUGGUGGAGGCUCGCAGCGGUUCUGACGUGCAAAUCGAUCGUCAAAUAUGGGCAUGGGGGCGAAAGACUAAUCGAACCUUCUAGUAGCUGGUUUCCGCCGAAGU
rnacentral:rRNA from 1 species